GUGGGCUUAACGUCGAAAAAAGACGAAAGAACAAAAACUGGACAGUUGAGCAAACGACUGUCCUUGUUGAACGAUGUGUCGACGGAUAUAAUCUACUCACCGGCGCCCAUAAGUUAGGGCUGUCAGAAUCCAACAAGGAUUCGUACUGGGCCGAAACUAUUGAAAUGAUUAAUGCUGUAGGUCCGGAGCGAAGUCUCGUCGAGGCAAAAAGGAAGUGGAUCGAAGUUAAGAGUUUGACAAAGAAAAAAACACAAGAUAUGGCAAAGGAAAGACGUGCCACUGGUGGUGGACCAGCACCAGGCAAACUAAAUGCUUGGGAAGAAAAG